rnacentral:rRNA from 1 species
UUUUAAAUGGAGACUUGUAUGAACGGCAAAACCUUUUUCAGCUGUCUCCUUUUCUACCCUUCUAAAUUUCUUUCUGUGUGAAGAAGCACAGAUACACAAGAAAGACGAGAAGACCCUGUCGAGCUUUAGCCACUAAGUGAAUAAUAUUGCCCAUUAAAUAUCACCCAAAGGCUUUGGUUGGGGCAACCAAGGAGAAAAAAAAUCCUCCAGAACAAACAGAAGAAAACCCUUCACUGAUAACUUCCUAAAGAACCAAAAAUUGGCAUUCGGAAAAAGUUACCGCAGGGAUAACAGCGUAAUCCUCUCUGAGAGUCCUCAUUGACGAGAGGGUUUGCGACCUCGAUG